CCGCCUUACGUAGAGUGCUCCUCGCAACCCCCACCAGCUCCCAGGCGCCUGGACGCCAGAGCCCUCCCGGCGCCCAGCAGCCGGGGGAUUCCCAGAGUGGGUCGCAGUGCCGAGAAGUGCCCCGCCCCCUCCAUCUUCCUGGGCUCCGACCUAGAAACUGAGUCACUGACGCAAGCCUUCACCCCUGCCCUUGGCGGGAGGGGAUCCUUGGCAGACCCCUACCCCGCUCCGGCGAAACAUGCACGGUUGGCCCUCAGAAUCCGGCCUGCAUCCCCUGGGGCCAGUCCCGGAGCCUUCACAGCCUCAGGUCGGGUCCUACCUUUCUUCUUGGAGUUCAUGAGCCAAGUUGCUUGAAGAGAUGUCUACCUCCAUUUCCUCACCACACCCACCUCCUCCUCUUCCCAUCCUGGUCUGCCUUCUGCACUCAACACUCCCCUGACGGGUGGAUGUCACCAGUGACUUCCCUGUUGCUGAAUCCAGUGUCUAGUGUUUAGUCCACAUUCUGCUUGAUCUCAGUAAACCUUCUGACUUUCUGGC